UACGUAGGGUGCGAGCGUUAAUCGGAAUUACUGGGCGUAAAGCGUGCGCAGGCGGUUUUGUAAGCCAGAUGUGAAAUCCCCGGGCUUAACCUGGGAAUGGCAUUUGGGACUGCAAGGCUUGAGUGCGGCAGAGGAGACUAGAAUUCCUGGUGCAGCAGUGAAAUGCGUAGAUAUCAGGAGGAACACCGGUGGCGAAGGCGGGACUCUGGGCCGAUACUGACGCUGAGGAGCGAAAGCGUGGGGAGCAAACAGG
rnacentral:rRNA from 1 species